CGUGUAGGCGGGAGAAUAAGUCAGAUGUGAAAUUCCAUGGCUCAACUGUGGCGCUGCAUCUGAAACUAUUUUUCUUGAGUGCUGGAGAGGAAAGCGGAAUUCCUAGUGUAGCGGUGAAAUGCGUAGAUAUUAGGAGGAACACCAGUGGCGAAGGCGGCUUUCUGGACAGUAACUGACGCUGAGGCGCGAAAGCGUGGGGAGCAAACA
rnacentral:rRNA from 1 species